GUGGGGAAUUUUGGACAAUGGGCGCAAGCCUGAUCCAGCAAUGCCGCGUGCAGGAAGAAGGCCUUCGGGUUGUAAACUGCUUUUGUACGGAACGAAACGGUCCUGGUUAAUACCCGGGGCUAAUGACGGUACCGUAAGAAUAAGCACCGGCUAACUACGUGCCAGCAGCCGCGGUAAUACGUGGGGUGCAAGCGUUAAUCGGAAUUACUGGGCGUAAAGCGUGCGCAGGCGGUGCUGUAAGACAGGCGUGAAAUCCCCGGGCUUAACCUGGGAAUUGCGCUUGUGACUGCAGUGCUGGAGUGCGGCAGAGGGGGAUGGAAUUCCGCGUGUAGCAGUGAAAUGCGUAGAUAUGCGGAGGAACACCGAUGGCGAAGGCAAUCCCCUGGGCCUGCACUGACGCUCAUGCACGAAAGCGUGGGGAGCAAACAGGAUUAGAAACCCCAGUAGUCC
rnacentral:rRNA from 1 species